UUAAGGACCAAACUUCUGGAAUAAAAGGGAAUCAUGACAUGUCACAUAUGUCAUGUGUCCUUAAAGGGUUAAAUGAAAGCCAAGUUCUGCUAGGUCUAUCUCUCAUCAAAUGGCUAGGGACCAAAAAGGGCUUGAAAUUCUUCCCUCUCGUGGCUGUUAAAGAUACAUGGGGGUAACUACCUCACAAAGGUGUUCAUCUUGUGAGAUAAGGGGCCAAAACCUGUUUAUUAUUCCUAAGAUUACAGCUUUGAAAUCCACUAGACAUUCCUUAACGCGGAACUUCUCACAGCAUCUCACAGCAUCACACAGCACAGCUUACAGCCAUAACCUUUACUGUCAGUUAGAAUUACACGGUUAUCUCACUC